rnacentral:rRNA from 1 species
UGGAUGAUGUGGAUUAAUUCGAUGCAACGCGAAGAACCUUACUACCCUUGACAUGUCCGGAACUUGCCAGAGAUGGCUUGGUGCCCGAAAGGGAAUCGGAACACAGGUGCUGCAUGGCUGUCGUCAGCUCGUGUCGUGAGAUGUUGGGUUAAGUCCCGCAACGAGCGCAACCCUUAUCAUUAGUUGCUACGCAAGGGCACUCUAAUGAGACUGCCGGUGACAAACCGGAGGAAGGUGGGGAUGACGUCAAGUCCUCAUGGCCCUUAUGGGUAGGGCUUCACACGUCAUACAAUGGUCGGUACAAAGGGUUGCCAAGCCGCGAGGUGGAGCUAAUCCCAUAAAACCGAUCGUAGUCCGGAUCGCAGUCUGCAACUCGACUGCGUGAAGUCGGAAUCGCUAGUAAUCGUGAAUCAGAAUGUCACGGUGAAUACGUUCCCGGGCCUU